UACGUAGGGUGCGAGCGUUAAUCGGAAUUACUGGGCGUAAAGUGUGCGCAGGCGGCAGAGCAAGUCGAGUGUGAAAGCCCCGGGCUUAACUUGGGAAUUGCGCUCGAAACUACUUUGCUGGAGUGUGGCAGAGGAAGGUGGAAUUCCACGUGUAGCGGUGAAAUGCGUAGAGAUGUGGAGGAACACCAAUGGCGAAGGCAGCCUUCUGGGCCAACACUGACGCUCAUGCACGAAAGCGUGGGGAGCAAGCAGG
rnacentral:rRNA from 1 species